rnacentral:tRNA from 1 species
GCAUCGAUGGUUCAGUGGUAGAAUGCUCGCCUGCUACGCGGGCGGCCCGGGUUCGAUUCCUGGUCGAUGCA